UUUGGGCUUCUUCUACAGGCAUGUUGGUUAAACAAAGACCAGAAUCCCCUCUAAGAAAAACCUUGUGAAGCCCUGGCCUCAUCUCAUCGGAUUCAGAUCGACCUAAAGUAACUUGCAUAACUUUGUUUAAUCCUAGGAAAAAUCUGGAAUAUCAAAGAUAACCGAAAAAACAUAUAUAUUAUACCUCGAUAUCAUAUACCACACAGCCUAAAACACGACACGGAAAUAGCUAGGUUGUGGGUUGUUACUUCUACGUUCUAACCCGUUUAAUAAACAUGUCGUGUUCAGGUUGACCGUUUAACGCGUAAACUUAAACGAUUUUAAAAUAGAUUGCUUUAUAUGGUUAACCCCUUUAACCGGUUUACAAACCGUAAAAGCUUUGAGUAAUAAGUGAUCAGACGGACCGUAUACGGGUUGAUGUCUUCGACACAAGCUCAUCAAUUCAACCCACAAAGGCACAAACCCACCGUCACCCCUACUACUAAUAAUAUCAUUCAGUAAAUUAAUAAAAUUAAACAUUUUAAGCACUGCUGGUGGAUUUAAGUUGUUCUCUGAACUGCUUAAACUUC
rnacentral:lncRNA from 1 species